UACGGGGGGAGCAAGCGUUGUUCGGAUUUACUGGGCGUAAAGGGCGCGUAGGCGGUAGCACAAGUCAGUUGUGAAAUCUCCGGGCUUAACUCGGAAAGGUCAACUGAUACUGUGCGACUAGAGUGCAGAAGGGGCAACUGGAAUUCUCGGUGUAGCGGUGAAAUGCGUAGAUAUCGGGAGGAACACCAGUGGCGAAGGCGACUACCUGGCCUGUUUCUUGACGCUGAGGCGCGAAAGCUAGGGGAGCAAACGGG
rnacentral:rRNA from 1 species